UACGUAGGGGGCAGGCGUUGUCCGGAUUUAUUGGGCGUAAAGAGCGUGUAGGCGGCCAUGUAGGUCCGUUGUGAAAACUCGAGGCUCAACCUCGAGACGCCGAUGGAAACCAUGUGGCUAGAGUCCGGAAGAGGAGAGUGGAAUUCCUGGUGUAGCGGUGAAAUGCGCAGAUAUCAGGAAGAACACCCGUGGCUAAGGCGGCUCUCUAGUACGGUACUGACGCUGAGACGCGAAAGCGUGGGGAGCGAACAGG
rnacentral:rRNA from 1 species